rnacentral:rRNA from 1 species
UCGGUGGUGGAUGCGCACCGUCAGGUAGAUCUCGCUACGGCUACGGCGGCUCUCCAUGCUUUGUUCAACAUCGGUCCCUCCGACAUGUCCAUUCGUGCGUACCAUCCGGAGGAUUUCCUUGUGCUCUGUGGUAGCGAGGCCAUCAGAGAGACGAUGGUGGAUAGAGGUCGGGCUCUGGCGCGGGGCUUCUCUCUGUCGCUUUGGCCUUGGAGCCGGCACGCGCAAGCCACUGGCAUCGGCAUGUCGUUCCUGGUGCAGCUGGCACUGGUUGGUGUUCCGGCGAACGCCUGGACUCGGCGGGCCGCGCAAGAGGUGCUGCGCGGAACUGGUGUCGUGGUCAAGGUGGCCGACAGCACCGCUAGGCGCCAUGACAUGUCGCGGUUUCGCGUUUGGUUGAAGACGGAUGACCUGGACCGAAUUCCAGCUCGCCGCAUCCUG